GACGAACGCUGGCGGCGUGCUUAACACAUGCAAGUCGAACGGAAAGGCCUCUUUCGGGGGGUACUCGAGUGGCGAACGGGUGAGUAACACGUGAGUAACCUGCCCUUGACUUUGGGAUAACUUCAGGAAACUGGGGCUAAUACCGGAUAGGAGCUCCUGCUGCAUGGUGGGGGUUGGAAAGUUUCGGCGGUUGGGGAUGGACUCGCGGCUUAUUAGCUUGUUGGUGGGGUAGUGGCUUACCAAGGCUUUGACGGGUAGCCGGCCUGAGAGGGUGACCGGCCACAUUGGGACUGAGAUACGGCCCAGACUCCUACGGGAGGCAGCAGUGGGGAAUAUUGCACAAUGGGCGGAAGCCUGAUGCAGCAACGCCGCGUGCGGGAUGACGGCCUUCGGGUUGUAAACCGCUUUCGCCUGUGACGAAGCGUGAGUGACGGUAAUGGGUAAAGAAGCACCGGCUAACUACGUG
rnacentral:rRNA from 1 species